CCAUUCGGCAGGUUUGUUCGGGAAAAAGAGUCAUUCGAAUGGCUGGGCUAUAGAAACCAGCCAUUCAUACGAACGGGAGACAAACAGACGAAUGCAAUUAAAAUACAAGCAGACAGAUGGUUCUGUCACAACUCAUUUAUUCAAUAAACAGCAAUUUUAAAGCUCAUAGAAUGUAAUAUCAUUUUUUAAGAACACCUAGCCUAGGCAAA